rnacentral:rRNA from 1 species
AGUGAACGCUGGCGGUAGGCCUAACACAUGCAAGUCGAACGGCAGCACAGGAGAGCUUGCUCUCUGGGUGGCGAGUGGCGGACGGGUGAGGAAUACAUCGGAAUCUACUUUUUCGUGGGGGAUAACGUAGGGAAACUUACGCUAAUACCGCAUACGACCUACGGGUGAAAGCAGGGGAUCUUCGGACCUUGCGCGAUUGAAUGAGCCGAUGUCGGAUUAGCUAGUUGGCGGGGUAAAGGCCCACCAAGGCGACGAUCCGUAGCUGGUCUGCGAGGAUGAUCAGCCACACUGGAACUUAGAAACGGUCCAGACUCCUACGGGAGGCAGCAGUGGGGAAUAUUGGACAAUGGGCGCAAGCCUGAUCCAGCCAUACCGCGUGGGUGAAGAAGGCCUUCGGGUUGUAAAGCCCUUUUGUUGGGAAAGAAAUCCAGCUGGUUAAUACCCGGUUGGGAUGACGGUACCCAAAGAAUAAGCACCGGCUAACUUCGUGCCAGCCGCCGCAGUAA